UACGUGAGGGGCGAACGUUGUUCGGUGUCACUGGGCUUAAAGGGUGCGUAGGUGGUUGCGUAAGUAAGGUGUGAAAGCCCUCGGCUUACCCGGGGAAUUGCGCCUUAUACUGCGUGACUUGAGGAUUUCAGGGGAAUGGGGAACUCCAGGUGUAGCGGUGAAAUGCGCAGAUAUCAGGAGGAACACCAAUUGCGAAGGCAGCUCGCUGGGACGUUACUGACGCUGAGACGCGAAAGCGUGGGGAGCAAACAGG
rnacentral:rRNA from 1 species